UUCAAAAUGAUGAGUGUAUAGUGAAAGAUCGGGGAACAUCCAUGGUCAUGCUUAAAAAUGUUUCAGAGGCAAAGUUCAAGCAUAUUCUUCAGCCCAUAUCUGAUGUAUGUAUUACGAAGGAACAACAGAAAUAUGUACACUUUGAUUCUUUCUUCACCCACACAAUUUGCCAUGAGUGUUGCCUUGGGAUUGGGCCUCAUACCAUAACACUUCCAAAUGGUGAAAAAUCUAUAGUUAGAUUGGUCAGUUGUAGUGUCAUCAUUUUCACGCUCUUUCUUUGUAACUUCCUCCUCACUUGUUUGGUUGUUAGCUUCUCAUUUAUUUAUGUUCUGCAACUAGUUUAGAGGGCAUCAUCUCUCUUUGUGAUAUCGAAUUAUUCUUCAAUAUUAAAACGUAUUUUUCCCA